rnacentral:rRNA from 1 species
GGGCCCGCACAAGCGGUGGAGUAUGUGGUUUAAUUCGAUGCAACGCGAAGAACCUUACCAGGGUUUGACAUCCUGCGAAUCUCUUGGAAACGAGAGAGUGCCUUCGGGAACGCAGUGACAGGUGGUGCAUGGCUGUCGUCAGCUCGUGUCGUGAGAUGUUGGGUUAAGUCCCGCAACGAGCGCAACCCACGUCUUUAGUUGCCAGCAUUUAGUUGGGCACUCUAGAGAGACUGCCGGUGAUAAACCGGAGGAAGGUGUGGAUGACGUCAAGUCAUCAUGCCCCUUACAUCCUGGGCUACACACGUACUACAAUGCUACGGACAAAGGGCAGCGAAGCCGCGAGGCCAAGCAAA